CUUUUUCUUUUUUUAUUUCUUCUUCUCUCCGCCUCUCAGCUUCAUCAUCUCAAACACGAUGAUGAGCUAAUUUGCCGCUCUCCAAUGGCGAAACUGAUAGACAAUAUUACUUCUCUCGAUUUCAGUAGCAGCGAAUCUCAUUUGUUCACUUCUCAGCUUUAGGGAAUCUGCUCAUUUAGUUUGUUCUCAAUAGAUCACUACGUUUUAUUAUUGGAAGCGGAUUUUCUAUUCAACCGUAGAUUGUUGCUCUCUCAGAUUCCAUUGCAACCACAAACUAAACAGAUAUGUAGAAUUUUUUUAUGCAUUUUGCAAUAUUUGCUUGUCUAACUAGAAAAAAGUUGUAGUCAGGUCUCUUCCUGAACAUUACAGAUAAUCAGCUUUUGUUUGAAAUCAGGUAACUCUUGUGCUAUGGUUGGAGAAUCUUUCAUUGGAAAGGAAUUGAUGUGAGAAGCUACAAUGGUUUUUGUGUUGCACACAAGUUUCACAUUGGGAUGGAAUGGAAUGAAGUUGCCUCUAUCACAAAGCAGGACAUAAAUUUAACUGAAUUGAGUCAUUUUGGUUUGAGCUAUAACAUUUAUAUGCCUCUACAGCUAUAGCUUCAGACUUGGUUUUGAUGUUCUAGGAUCGACAAAAACUUGUUGCGUUGCUCAACCGGGCUAGCAAAUGAUGUCAUCAUUGAAGUUGGAGAAAUGUCCUUCCAUCUCCACAAGGUAUUAUACAAUUCAAUUUUUAUUCAUGUACAAAAUUGAGUUGCAUAAUGUGCUUAAAUUUGAAGUGCAAUAGCCUAACUAUUCUCUUGCUAAAAUGAAGUUCUAGCGUGUCCUCUUCAUCUUUCUUUGUCCAGCCGUGAUUUGAUGCCUUCUGUUUUAGUCAUCUAAUCGUUUAAAAGUUUGAAGAAUAUUGAUUGCCCUAUGAGCUUUUCUGCAUUCAUUUCUGUCUUUAUUUCUUAACCUACUACAGACAGUUUGACUCAUUUGUUGUUUUAUGAAAGUUGUAUCUGUACGCGUAGUUUCAUUAUAGCACAGCUGAAAAAAGACAAUUUUUUGACAUAUCUACAAUUGGAGACCUUUUAGGGACAACUGAUGCAAUCGCUAAAUGAUGAUAGUUCACGAGUAAGAUCCUGUUUCUAUGUUCUUUUCUUGAACUGUUGUAUUUAGCAAUUUGUUUUUUUAUCUUGAACUGUUGUAUUUAGCAAUUUGUUUUUUUUUCUUGAACUGCUGUAUUUAGGAUCUUUGCUUCUUUUGUUUCGAGUUGUGUUUACUUUCGUUGUGGAAUCAAGAUCAUUACAAGGAUAUUCAUCAACAUUGAACCUAAAUCUACUUUGAUGUUUUACCUGUAAUUGAAAAUGAUCUUUUGCUUAUAAAUUUGUGGUUCUUUGGCUUAA